ACGCAGGAAGGUAGCCCAAGCCGGGCGAUGGUUGUCCCGGUGCAAGUGCGUAGGCUGAGAGAUAGGCAAAUCCGUCUCUCGUGACGGCCGAGACACGAUGCGGACCCGAAAGGGAUAGUGGGUGAUCCUAAGCUGCCAAGAAAAGCAUCGACGCGAGGUUCCAGCCGCCCGUACCCCAAACCGACUCAGGUGGUCAGGUAGAGAAUACCAAGGAGAUCGAGAGAAUCGUGGUUAAGGAACUCGGCAAAAUGCCCCCGUAACUUCGGGAGAAGGGGGGCCUUCGACGUAUUAGGACUUGCUCCGAAAGCGUUUGGAGGCCGCAGAGACUAGUGGGUAGCGACUGUUUACUAAAAACACAGGUCCGUGCCAAGUCGCAAGACGAUGUAUACGGACUGACGCCUGCCCGGUGCUGGAAGGUUAAGAGGACGGGUUAGCCGUAAGGCGAAGCUCAGAAUUUAAGCCCCAGUAAACGGCGGUGGUAACUAUAACCAUCCUAAGGUAGCGAAAUUCCUUGUCGGGUAAGUUCCGACCUGCACGAAUGGCGUAACGACUUCCCAACUGUCUCAACCGCGAACUCGGCGAAAUUGCACUACGAGUAAAGAUGCUCGUUACGCGCAGCAGGACGGAAAGACCCCGUGACCUUUACUACAGCUUGGUAUUGGUGUUCGGUGUGGCUUGUGUAGGAUAGGUGGGAGACUUUGAAGCAGGGACGCCAGUUCUUGUGGAGUCGUUGUUGAAAUACCACUCUGGUCACUCUGGAUGUCUAACUUAGAACCGUAAUCCGGUUCAGGGACAGUGCCUGGUGGGUAGUUUAACUGGGGCGGUUGCCUCCCAAAAAGUAACGGAGGCGCCCAAAGGUUCCCUCAACCUGGUUGGCAAUCAGGUGGCGAGUGUAAGUGCACAAGGGAGCUUGACUGUGAGACUGACAGGUCGAGCAGGGACGAAAGUCGGGACUAGUGAUCCGGCAGUGGCUUGUGGAAGCGCUGUCGCUCAACGGAUAAAAGGUACCUCGGGGAUAACAGGCUGAUCUUGCCCAAGAGUCCAUAUCGACGGCAUGGUUUGGCACCUCGAUGUCGGCUCGUCGCAUCCUGGGGCUGGAGUAGGUCCCAAGGGUUGGGCUGUUCGCCCAUUAAAGCGGUACGCGAGCU
rnacentral:rRNA from 1 species